rnacentral:rRNA from 1 species
UACGUAGGGUGCGAGCGUUAAUCGGAAUUACUGGGCGUAAAGCGUGCGUAGACGGUUAUUUAAGUCAGGUGUGAAAGCCCCGGGCUCAACCUGGGAAUUGCAUUUGAGACUGAAUAGCUAGGGUGCGGAAGAGGGAAGCGGAAUUUCCGGUGUAGCGGUGAAAUGCGUAGAUAUCGGAAGGAACACCAGUGGCGAAAGCGGCUUCCUGGUCCAGCACCGACGUCAGGCACGAAAGCGUGGGGAGCAAACAGGG